AGUGUGUGUUGUUCCCCUCCCUGUGUCCAUACAGAGCACCCCUUUCUCUCCAAGGAUCGCUGUGGCCUCUGUAAGCUCCCCUCAUAACUGCUCUGAACUGAGCACCCUGCUGAUGAGGGCUUCUUUCUUUGGAAUCCCAAUCGACCCCAUCCUGGAACAGUUCAGAGUACUCCCUUGUGGGAAUUCCCCCGCCGCUGCUUUUGGGGUGAUUCCAGCGUUGGGUUGGCUGGACAAAACAGCCUCGAAGCAUACUGCCCCAAAUCUGGUCCUUCUGAGUUUCUGAUUCCCUCACUCUUCAUCUCUUAUGACGCCUUCCUAAACAUUCCUGAGAGUUUCAAACAUUGUCUUUCAUUUGACUCAGGGAUUCAUCAUCCGCUUCCUGUUGAAAUAGUAAACGCCUCCACAUGGACUCACGGGUUCACCUCCUUCCGGUCUGAACAGUGAACUCCUCCGCAUCAACUCACCCAUUCACCCCUUCCGGUCUAAACAGUGAACGCCUCCGCAUGGACUCACGAGUUCACCUCCUUCCGGUCUAAACAGUGAACGCCUCCGCAUCGACUCACGGGUUCACCUCCUUCCGGUCUGAACAGUGAACUCCUCCGCAUGGACUCACGGGUUCACCUCCUUCCGGUCUGAACAGUGAACGCCUCCGCAUCGACUCACGGGUUCACCUCCUUCCGGUCUGAACAGUGAACUCCUCCGCAUGGACUCACGGGUUCACCUCCUUCCGGUCUGAACAGUGAACUCCUCCGCAUCGACUCACGGGUUCACCUCCUUCCGGUCUGAACAGUGAACUCCUCCGCAUGGACUCACGGGUUCACCUCCUUCCGGUCUGAACAGUGAACUCCGCAUCGACUCACGCGUUCACCUCCUUCCGGUCUAAAUGGUAAACUCCUCUGCAUUUUCUGUUCGGUUCUAUUUUGGUGGGGCCCACGCGUCAUCACAGAGUAUCUGGGAGCCCUGCCCUCUUGCAGAUGGGAAUGAAGGCCCAGGUGCUCUGGAGAGGUGACUCUCCUCUAGAAAGGAAACACUGGUUCUGUAAACCUGUUUGAGAAGAAAAGCUCGAGGUUUCUUGGCCUCUCUGCUUCUGGAGCCAGGGGAAAAAAUAGCCCCAGGCUGAAGACAGGAGGGACCAGAUUGCUGCUUGGUGAUGCGAUCUCACUGCAGAGGCAGCCAGGAGACCCUCCUGAGACGAAUCGGAGAGUCCAUGCUGCUUUUACACACAUCCUAGUUCUUUUAUAACUAGCCUUUUCCUAUUAACGGACAUCAUUCAAAAGCCAGUUUUAAGCAACAUAAAUAUUGAAAACAAUACUAUACUAUUUAGAAUUAAUUAUAAGUUUUGUUUUUAAAGCCUAAAUCUUUUAUUGUUGUUUGAACCCUGGGCACUGAAGCUAAUAAUGUAACUUUUCUCCCUUCUUUCUUCUUUGGCAUAGAUUUAAAGAACUGUUAGACUCAUUUAAAAUGCUAUUAGGCAUUUUAAAGAGUAAUUGUUAAAUGUGUUGUCUCUUGUGGGACUGGAAAUGUUCUGUUCUUAUCUGGCGCUGGUUACAUCCUGUUUUUCAUUUGGGAAAGUGCAUUGAGCUGGAAAUUUAUAUGUUCAAUUUCUGUAUGUAAAUUGUACUUCAGUAAAAAUUUUCAAAAAAGUG
rnacentral:lncRNA from 1 species